UUCCAGAAAGAGCUGGAGACCCAAGUCUGAGAAACCCUGGCAUGGUGACAUCUUAGAAACUAAAUGGGCAGUUGAAUAAAAUUUAUAGGGAUAACAGCGCCAUCCCCUUCUAGAGUCCAUAUCGACAAGGGGGUUUACGACCUCGAUGUUGGAUCAGGGCACCCCCAUAGUGCAGCCGCUAUUAAAGGUUCGUUUGUUCAACGAUUAAAGUCCUACGUGAUCUGAAUUCAGACCGGAGAAAUCCGGGUCGGUUUUUAUCUAUGCAGCACUAUUUUUAGUACCAAAGGACCAAAAUAGUGGGACCCAUGCUAAAUAAACGUCCCAAUUAAAACUACUGACUACCACUAAAGUAGUAAACAUGCCCACCUCAUUUAUCAAAAUCAGGUUUAUUAAGGUGGCAGAGUCAAGUAAUGCAAAAGACCUAA